rnacentral:lncRNA from 1 species
CGGAGAGCUUGCAGAUGGUAAAAGGCAGAAAAUUUACAGAGGUUGUGGAUGGCCGAAAAGUUGAAGAGCUCCCGAAACCCUGGGAGUGUUUGCUUGGAGGGGGGGAGCGGCCAGAGUGGUGCACCCUGGGGCCUGGCUGCGCGGCUUAUGAUUGAUGUUUUGUGAUGGCUCGUAUUGUAGUUGGGUAGUGGUCGGUAUGUGCUAUUGGAUUGGUGAUUCGUAUUUAACGCAGAAUUUCUUUUGGUGCUGUUUCUAUUGAUGAUUGUUAUUGUGUGGUGGCCCUUGUGGGGUCGGUUGGGUGACUGUACACUGAUGGUUUGGGUUGUGGUGUUCCGGCUGCGUUGUUUAUGUUAUGUUUGUUUGAACUUCAUGGUCUGUUCUGGGUUCUGUUUUUUGAAUUUGGCCGGGUUCUGUUGGCUGGGGAUGGCUUGUAGAGCUGAAGGUGCUUCCGAGUGGGGGUUUUUUGAGAGUUGUACU